rnacentral:lncRNA from 1 species
AAUAGGAUUCUAUCGGCUGUACAGGUUGGGCAGCUAACUGCAUCUGCUGCUGUUGCUCAAGCAGUUGUGCUAUUAACUGGUACACUCCUGCUAAAUCUGCCUGGGUUGCUAUGGAGUGUGGAGUAGUUUGUGAAAUUGAUUGGAUAUCAGGGCCCGGAGAAGGUGCCCUUAUUUAUCUUUCAUCCUCCAUGUUGCUUACGGCUACCUAGCAGUCAAGAAUUUAUGAUAAGUUUACAUAAAUUAUCUCUUAACAUAGUAAAAU